rnacentral:lncRNA from 10 species
GAAAAUCAUUCCUUUACUGGAAUCAUGGAGACGAGGGAGCUCCCCGGGUCAGGGAUGCUGAGCUGGGAGGACAUGAGCCUGGGGCUGCCAGAGCCUUCUUGUGAGGAAAGAUCCUGGCUGAGAAUGAAGUCAACGGGGCAGAUGGAGGGGCUGAGAGGUGGAGCUGACAUCAUUUGAGCCUCUGGAUCUAACCUCACUUGCCUUUACCCUUAGACUUUCCAGUUAUGUGAGUCAAUUUAUUCCUUAGGGCUAGAAUUUCUAUCCCUUAUACCUGAGUCCUGGCAUGGAAGAGGAAGGAAGGUAAGAAAGAAGGAUGAAUAUUUAAGAACAGGUGUCUGAGGCUGGGUAUGGUGGCUCAUGCCUGUAAUCCCAGCACUUUGGGAGGCUGAGGCAGGUGGAUCACAUGAGGCCAGGAGUUUGAGACCAGCCUGGCCAACAUGGUGAAAACCCGUUUCUACUAAAAAUACAAAAGUUUUCCGGGCGUGGUGGUAGGCGUCUGUAAUCCCAUUACUCAGGAGGCUGAGGUAGGAGAAUCACUUGAACCAGGAGGCAGAGAUUGCAGUGAUCUGAGAUCAUGCCACUGCACUCCAGCCUGGGUGACAGAGUGAGACUCUGUCUCAAAAAAAUAAAAUAAAAUUACAUAAAGAACAGGUGUCUGAGGAUAACUCAAAUCAGCUUCCUGCCCCCUUAUAAAAUGGGAGUAGAGAGGGACUUGGGCCUUCAACCCACCCAGAGGAGUUCUGUCCCUGGGCCUCACAGCUUUGCCCUGUCUCCUCUCUAGCUUGCAGUCAGCCUAGAAACUACAAUAGAAAAAUAAAUGAUGUGGAUACAAAAAUAAAAUGCCUUUUCCUCACCUGAGUGCAGGAGAAGGGGCGGCAUGUGCUGGGGAAUGCCUUCCUCACCCCAUUCUCCUCUUUGAGGACAAACAUUUAUUAGGCACCUGCUUCAUGCCAGGCUCUAUUAAGAAGAUGACAUACAUGGUCUCAUUUCCUCCUUGCCAUAGCCCAGCCAGGAAGGAAUAUUAUCAUCUCCAUUUUACAGAUGGGAAAACUGAGGCUUUGAUGAUGUGAAGAUAACUGGUGCCUUGAGAGGCUGAGCCACUGGACCAAAGUGUCAGAGCUGGAGCAGGUUGUCCAGGAGUGCCAAGUCC